rnacentral:rRNA from 1 species
AUUGAACGCUGGCGGCAUGCCUUACACAUGCAAGUCGAACGGCAGCACGGGUGCUUGCACCUGGUGGCGAGUGGCGAACGGGUGAGUAAUAUAUCGGAACGUACCUUAUGGUGGGGGAUAACGCAGCGAAAGCUGUGCUAAUACCGCAUAAUCCCUAAGGGGAAAAGCGGGGGACCGUAAGGCCUCGCGCAAUUAGAGCGGCCGAUACCUCAUUAGCUAGUUGGUGAGGUAAAGGCUCACCAAGGCAACGAUCAGUAGCUGGUCUGAGAGGACGGUCAGCCACACUGGGACUGAGACACGGCCCAGACUCCUACGGGAGGCAGCAGUGGGGAAUUUUGGACAAUGGGGGCAACCCUGAUCCAGCAAUGCCGCGUGAGUGAAGAAGGCCUUCGGGUUGUAAAGCUCUUUUGUCAGGGAAGAAACAGCAGCUCUAACACAGUUUGCGAAUGACGGUACCUGAAGAAUAAGCACCGGCUAACUACGUGCCAGCCGCCGCUGUAAUAC